rnacentral:rRNA from 1 species
GACGAACGCUGGCGGCGUGCUUAACACAUGCAAGUCGAACGGAAAGGCCCUGCUUUUGUGGGGCGCUCGAGUGGCGAACGGGUGAGUAACACGUGAGUAACCUGCCCUUGACUUUGGGAUAACUUCAGGAAACUGGGGCUAAUACCGGAUAGGAGCUCCUGCUGCAUGGGGGGGGUUGGAAAGUUUCGGCGGUUGGGGAUGGACUCGCGGCUUAUCAGCUUGUUGGUGGGGUAGUGGCUUACCAAGGCUUUGACGGGUAGCCGGCCUGGGAGGUUGACCGGCCACAUUGGGACUGAGAUACGGCCCAGACUCCUACGGGAGGCAGCAGUGGGGAAUAUUGCACAAUGGGCGGAAGCCUGAUGCAGCAACGCCGCGUGCGGGAUGACGGCCUUCGGGUUGUGAACCGCUUUCGCCUGUGACGAAGCGUGAGUGACGGUAAUGGGUAAAGAAGCACCGGCUAACUACGUG